UCUGCUGCUUUUACUACUUUUAACCAAUGAGGAGGAACUGGAGGAUGGACUUGUAAGCUUGCCAUAGGGUCUUGAAAGUGGUUAAGCUUGACUUUAAUGAACCUUCAUGACAGUAUGAGUGGUCAGGUAUGAGAGGUUGGUCAUCCUUCUCUAUGGUUAAGGCAGUUGCACAUUCAGCACACUUGAUGCAACUUGUAAUUUUCUUGGCUAUGUAUCCACUGAUAUAGCUAGCUUGCUUUCACUUACAACAGAGCAGUUGGCAGUUGCUGGGGCUGUCAUGUAUUGAACAAAGAAACAUCAGUAGUUUACUUAUCUUGUACGUAAGUGUCAUAAAAUGAACAAACUGAGCAGUAUGAUACAAUUUUUGUCAGAAGUCAUUAGUUGCAUGUUAAUAAUGUGAUGCAAUUUAGACAUUUGUAGUUAUAAAAUUGUAUUGCCAUUGGAAACAACUGGUAUCAUAGAUGGUGUUGUAGCUAUAGCAUAAUAAAAACAUAUACAAUAACUAAGUAUGAUAAGCAUAAAAGUCACAUAUAUUUUAUUCACAGCUAUAUCUUAUAAUAAUCUCAGCCAUAACCAGCAUUUUUAUUUGCUCAUGCUAUCUUAAUCUUGCUGUGUUCACUUACUGUAAAAACAAUAGAUUUCUAAUGAAAUGAGCAAUGAUGCAGUGAAAUUUACAUAGCAAGUGUAAAACAUUCAUUCUGGAUAUGCCACCGAUGACAUCCAUAUCAAAUAUUUCAUAAGAUAAUAUAUAAAUUUAAUGAACACCUUAGCUCUAGUAAAAAAAUACUUUAUACAGAGCUUUAUAACUAUCUCAAAAAAUAGUAUUGUAACAGUAUCUUGGGUUAUGUGUUUGAAUGUAAUUAUGUCAGAUUUUGAAAUAACCACUGUUAAUAUAACAAGCUUCUGAACAUAA